CACGUAGGUCCCGAGCGUUGUCCGGAUUUAUUGGGCGUAAAGCGAGCGCAGGUGGUUUAAUAAGUCUGAUGUAAAAGGCAGUGGCUCAACCAUUGUGUGCAUUGGAAACUGUUAGACUUGAGUGCAGUAGAGGAGAGUGGAAUUCCAUGUGUAGCGGUGAAAUGCGUAGAUAUAUGGAGGAACACCGGUGGCGAAAGCGGCUCUCUGGACUGUCACUGACACUGAGGCUCGAAAGCGUGGGUAGCAAACAGG
rnacentral:rRNA from 1 species